CCUACGGGAGGCUGCAGUGGGGAAUAUUGCACAAUGGGGGAAACCCUGAUGCAGCGACGCCGCGUGAGCGAUGAAGUAUUUCGGUAUGUAAAGCUCUAUCAGCAGGGAAGAAAAUGACGGUACCUGACUAAGAAGCCCCGGCUAACUACGUGCCAGCAGCCGCGGUAAUACGUAGGGGGCAAGCGUUAUCCGGAUUUACUGGGUGUAAAGGGAGCGUAGACGGCGGUGCAAGCCAGAUGUGAAAGCCCGGGGCUCAACCCCGGGACUGCAUUUGGAACUGUGCUGCUAGAGUGUCGGAGAGGUAGGUGGAAUUCCUAGUGUAGCGGUGAAAUGCGUAGAUAUUAGGAGGAACACCAGUGGCGAAGGCGGCUUGCUGGACGAUGACUGACGUUGAGGCUCGAAAGCGCGGGGAUCGAACAGGAUUAGAUACCCCAGUAGUC
rnacentral:rRNA from 1 species